UACGUAGGGCGCAAGCGUUGUCUGGAAUUAUUGGGUGUAAAGAGCUCGUAGGUGGUUUGUCGUGUUUGUCGUGAAAGCCCAUGGUUUAACUGUGGGUCUGUGGUGGAUACGGGUAGGUUAGAGGCAGGUAGGGGAGAACGGAAUUCCCGGUGUAGCGGUGAAAUGCGCAGAUAUCGGGAGGAACACCGGUGGCGAAGGCAGGUCUCUGGGCUGACACUGACGCUCAUGCACGAAAGCGUGGGAGCAAACAGG
rnacentral:rRNA from 1 species